rnacentral:pre_miRNA from 1 species
AAUAAGUGCAGCCAUGGAUUUUCGUGCCUAACGUUUGACCGUCCGUCUUAUUUAAAAAAUUUGUAAAAAAAUUAAAAAUAUUUAGUCACAUAUAAAGUACUAUUUAUGUUUUAUCAUCUAAUAGCAAUAAAAAUACUAAUCAUAAAAAUUUUUCAAAUAAGACGAACGGUCAAAUGUAAAUAGUGUAAAACUGUACUUAUU